UAAUACGUAGGUGGCAAGCGUUGUCCGGAAUUAUUGGGCGUAAAGCGCGCGCAGGCGGCCUUUUAAGUCUGAUGUGAAAGCCCACGGCUCAACCGUGGAAGGUCAUUGGAAACUGAAAGGCUUGAGUACAGAAGAGGAAAGCGGAAUUCCACGUGUAGCGGUGAAAUGCGUAGAGAUGUGGAGGAACACCAGUGGCGAAGGCGGCUUUCUGGUCUGUAACUGACGCUGAGGCGCGAAAGCGUGGGGAGCAAACAGG
rnacentral:rRNA from 1 species